rnacentral:rRNA from 1 species
GAAAGGUAUGCUAAUACGAGAUAAUAUGCUUUUAUCGCAUGGCAGAAGUAUCAAAGCUUUUGCGGUACAGGAUGGACCCGCGUCUGAUUAGCUAGUUGGUAAGGUAACGGCUUACCAAGGCGACGAUCAGUAGCCGACCUGAGAGGGUGAUCGGCCACAUUGGAACUGAGACACGGUCCAAACUCCUACGGGAGGCAGCAGUGGGGAAUAUUGCACAAUGGGCGAAAGCCUGAUGCAGCAACGCCGCGUGAGCGAUGAAGGCCUUCGGGUCGUAAAGCUCUGUCCUCAAGGAAGAUAAUGACGGUACUUGAGGAGGAAGCCCCGGCUAACUACGUGCCAGCAGCCGCGGUAAUACGUAGGGGGCUAGCGUUAUCCGGAAUUACUGGGCGUAAAGGGUGCGUAGGUGGUUUCUUAAGUCAGAGGUGAAAGGCUACGGCUCAACCGUAGUAAGCCUUUGAAACUGGGAAACUUGAGUGUAGGAGAGGAGAGUGGAAUUCCUAGUGUAGCGGUGAAAUGCGUAGAUAUUAGGAGGAACACCAGUUGCGAAGGCGGCUCUCUGGACUGUAACUGACACUGAGGCACGAAAGCGUGGGGAGCAAACAGGAUUAGAUACCCUGGUAGUCCACGCCGUAAACGAAGAGUGCUAGCUGUCGGAGGUUACCCCCUUCGGUGGC